CCCUAGUGGCGCACGGGUGAGUAACGCGUGGGAACCUGCCCUGUGGUACGGAAUAACUCCGGGAAACUGGAGCUAAUACCGUAUGCGUCCUUUGGGACAAAGAUUUAUCGCCAUGGGAUGGGCCCGCGUAGGAUUAGCUUGUUGGUGGGGUAACGGCCUACCAAGGCUUCGAUCCUUAGCUGGUCUGAGAGGAUGAUCAGCCACACUGGGACUGAGACACGGCCCAGACUCCUACGGGAGGCAGCAGUGGGGAAUAUUGGACAAUGGGCGCAAGCCUGAUCCAGCAAUGCCGCGUGAGUGAUGAAGGCCUUCGGGUUGUAAAGCUCUUUCGCACGCGACGAUGAUGACGGUAGCGUGAGAAGAAGCCCCGGCUAACUUCGUGCCAGCAGCCGCGGUAAUACGAAGGGGGCUAGCGUUGUUCGGAAUUACUGGGCGUAAAGGGCGCGUAGGCGGUACUUCAAGUCAGGCGUGAAAGCCCCGGGCUCAACCUGGGAACCGCGCUUGAGACUGGAGAACUAGAGUUCGGGAGAGGAUGGUGGAAUUCCCAGUGUAGAGGUGAAAUUCGUAGAUAUUGGGAAGAACACCGAUGGCGAAGGCAGCCAUCUGGACCGA
rnacentral:rRNA from 1 species